UCUGGGGCAGGGUGUGAGUACAGAGAAGCCCUUGGCUCAGA
rfam:Chelonia mydas contig256442, whole genome shotgun sequence.